ACCACCGAAGUCAAGCAUCAUUGGGCGCGGUCAGUACUUGGGUGAGUGACCACCUGGGAACACCGCGUGCCGUUG
rnacentral:rRNA from 1 species